AGAGUUUGAUCAUGGCUCAGAUUGAACGCUGGCGGCAUGCCUUACACAUGCAAGUCGAACGGCAGCAUAGGAGUUUGCUCCUGAUGGCGAGUGGCGAACGGGUGAGUAAUAUAUCGGAACAUGCCCUAGAGUGGGGGAUAACUAGUCGAAAGACUAGCUAAUACCGCAUACGAUCUACGGAUGAAAGUGGGGGAUCGCAAGACCUCAUGCUCCUGGAGCGGCCGAUAUCUGAUUAGCUAGUUGGUGGGGUAAAAGCCUACCAAGGCAACGAUCAGUAGCUGGUCUGAGAGGACGACCAGCCACACUGGGACUGAGACACGGCCCAGACUCCUACGGGAGGCAGCAGUGGGGAAUUUUGGACAAUGGGGGCAACCCUGAUCCAGCAAUGCCGCGUGAGUGAAGAAGGCCUUCGGGUUGUAAAGCUCUUUUGUCAGGGAAGAAACGGUAGUAGCGAAUAACUAUUACUAAUGACGGUACCUGAAGAAUAAGCACCGGCUAACUACGUGCCAGCAGCCGCGGUAAU
rnacentral:rRNA from 1 species